GAUGAAGAACGCAGCGAAAUGCGAUACUUGGUGUGAAUUGCAGAAUCCCGUGAACCAUCGAGUCUUUGAACGCAAGUUGCGACUCAAGCCAUUAGGUUGAGGGCACGUCUGCCUGGGCGUCACAUAUCGUUGCCUGAUGCCAGUUUCCUCGUGAUGGGUGACUGUGCAGGGCGAAUGAUGGCUUCCCGUGAGCAUUGUUGCCUCAUGGUUGGUUGAAAAUUGAGUCCUUGGUAGGGAGCGCCGUGAUAGAUGGUGGUUGAGUGACGAACGAGACCCAAUCAUGUGAGACCCCUAUCGAAUUUGGCCUUCAUGACCCACAUGCGUCUUUGGAACGCUCAUGACGAGACCUCAGGUCAGGCGGGGCUACCCGCUGAGUUUAAGCAUAUCAAUAAGCGGAGGA
rnacentral:misc_RNA from 1 species